AGGUGUACCCAUUCUGUUUAGCGGACGUUGAAAGGAAUAUUUGUCUGUUAAUAAGAGAUAUCCAAGUUUGUUUAUUUCUCCAGAAUUCUCUAAGGUUGUGGUUUACUGGCCAAAGGAGCGUCUGAAGCUUUCUUUACAUACUCCUGUCAGCUUUGUGCAUGAUCUUGUUGAAGUAGAGAGCACAGGAGUGCGGCAAGAGUCAUCUACCACUGAACUGUCAGCUGAAGAAUCAAGGAAGUCAAUGUGUGGAAAAAUAGUGUGGAAUGCCAAGGUAGAACUUCUAAAAAAUUCAACUUAUUUAUGAUU